rnacentral:rRNA from 1 species
ACGCUAGCUACAGGCUUAACACAUGCAAGUCGAGGGGAAACGACAUUGAAGCUUGCUUCGAUGGGCGUCGACCGGCGCACGGGUGAGUAACGCGUAUCCAACCUGCCUCUGACUAAGGGAUAGCCCGGCGAAAGUCGGACUAAUACCUUAUGAGGUUUUCUGCAGACAUCUAAUGAAAACGAAAGAUUUAUCGGUCAGUGAUGGGGAUGCGUCUGAUUAGCUUGUUGGCGGGGUAACGGCCCACCAAGGCAACGAUCAGUAGGGGUUCUGAGAGGAAGGUCCCCCACAUUGGAACUGAGACACGGUCCAAACUCCUACGGGAGGCAGCAGUGAGGAAUAUUGGUCGAUGGGCGAGAGCCUGAACCAGCCAAGUAGCGUGCAGGAUGACGGCCCUAUGGGUUGUAAACUGCUUUUAUGUGGGGAUAAAGUGAGCUACGUGUAGUUUAUUGCAGGUACCACAUGAAUAAGGACGGCUAAUUCCGUGCCAGCAGCCGCGGUAAUACGGAAGGUCCAGGCGUUAUCCGGAUUUAUUGGGUUUAAAGGGAGCGUAGGCCGUGGAUUAAGCGUGUUGUGAAAUGUAGACGCUCAACGUCUGAAUUGCAGCGCGAACUGGUUCACUUGAGUAUGCACAACGUAGGCGGAAUUCGUCGUGUAGCGGUGAAAUGCUUAGAUAUGACGAAGAACUCCGAUUGCGAAGGCAGCUUACGGGAGCACAACUGACGCUGAAGCUCGAAGGUGCGGGUAUCAAACAGGAUUAGAUACCCUGGUAGUCCGCACAGUAAACGAUGGAUGCCCGUUGUUAGUUCACUUAAGAAUUAGCGACCAAGCGAAAGCAUUAAGCAUCCCACCUGGGGAGUACGCCGGCAACGGUGAAACUCAAAGGAAUUGACGGGGGCCCGCACAAGCGGA